rnacentral:rRNA from 1 species
GAUGAACGCUGGCGGCGUGCCUAAUACAUGCAAGUCGAGCGAACGGACGAGAAGCUUGCUUCACUGAUGCUAGCGGCGGACGGGUGAGUAACACGUGGAUAACCUUCCUCUUAGACUGGGAUAACUUCGGGAAAGCGGAGCUAAUACCGGGUGAUAUUUUGAACCGCAUGGUUGAAAAGUGCAAGACGGUCUUGGUGUCAGUUCUAGAUGGAUCCGCGCUGCAUUAGCUAGUUGGUAAGGUAACGGCUUACCAAGGCAACGAUGCAUAGCCGACCUGAGAGGCGGAUCGACCACACUGGAACUGAAACACGGUCCAGACUCCUACGGGAGGCAGCAGUAGGGAAUCUUCCGCAACAGGCGAAAGCCUUACGCAGCAACGCCGCGUGAGUUAUGAAGGUCUUCGGAUCGUAAAACUCUGUUAUUAGGGAAGAACAUAUGUGUAAGUAACUGUGCACAUCUUGACGGUACCUAAUCAGAAAGCCACGGCUAACUACGUG